CACAUCUCAACAUCACUCAACUCUGUCAACCAUGUUCAGAUCAGGGCUUACCUUUACUGUACAUCGUGCUGAUUUCUGCUGCUGCUGGAUCUCUGUUGAUCGUAGCUGCAGUCUUGUGGUGCUGUUUCUGCUGGAGACAUAAAACAAUAGUUCAGAAAAUAGUGAUCCGCUAGAUAUACGAAAAUGAUUCAACACUGCAUACACCAAGAACACAAAAAACGAAAUCAAAGGAGCCUGUGUAUUUAAAUAUCGGCAGAAAUAAUCAACAAUGAUCAAAUAUAUUUUAGAGCUCAAUACGGAGCCCUGUUUCAUACUUUUUAGUUCAA